CCUACGGGAGGCAGCAGUGAGGAAUAUUGGUCAAUGGACGAGAGUCUGAACCAGCCAAGUCGCGUGAAGGAUGACUGCCCUAUGGGUUGUAAACUUCUUUUAUAUGGGAGUAAAAUGUUCCACGUGUGGGCUUUUGUAUGUAACAUGUGAAUAAAGCUCGGCUAACUCCGUGCCAGCAGCCGCGGUAAUACGGAGGAUCCGAGCGUUAUCCGGAUUUAUUGGGUUUAAAGGGAGCGUAGGUGGAUUGUUAAGUCAGUUGUGAAAGUUUGCGGCUCAACCGUAAAAUUGCAGUUGAAACUGGCAGUCUUGAGUACAGUAGAGGUGGGCGGAAUUCGUGGUGUAGCGGUGAAAUGCUUAGAUAUCACGAAGAACUCCGAUUGCGAAGGCAGCUCACUGGACUGCAACUGACACUGAGGCUCGAAAGUGUGGGUAUCAAACAGGAUUAGAUACCCGGGUAGUC
rnacentral:rRNA from 1 species